rnacentral:lncRNA from 1 species
CAUGUUCAAGAAACUCUUUUUAUGGUCCCCAAGACUUUGACCUUCUUCUUUGUAUGCGUAUAUAUUAAACCUCUUCCAUUUGUUAUCACUCGCCAUUCUAACCCUAAUAUAUAUCAUGAAGAUUUUGAAGUAGAAACAAACAGAAACUCACUUCUUCAUCUAUAUAUUCCUUAACGGAGUUCCAAUUCUGUCAGCUUUUAGUACUAUUCUCAUUGUCUGAAAAUCUCUGUGGGUUUUAUACUAUUCUUGAGAUGGGACAAGUUCUUCUAGUUUUAUUUUUACUUUCAUCCAUUCUUGCCCAUGAAACACAAGGUAGACACUUGAAGAAAGGACAUCUCUCAGCUACUAUUCAUAAAUUACAGGUGAGAAUACAACUUACAUUUUGGAAUUUUAGUUUAAAUAUUUGUUGAAUAUUUAUAAUCAUUUUAUUGAAAAGUUUCAACAUGACCUUUUGUUGAAUAUUUUUACUUUUUGGGUGCUGAUGAGGUUCGAAUCCAAGAUCUCUUGCCUUUGUACGAUCAUCUCACCUAAAAAUUAAGUAAGCGUUUGGAUAUAAAAAUUAUAAUUUUUGAAAAAAAAGUAAUAGCAGGAGUUAAGUUAAUAAAUGACAUUUGAACUUUAAAUUAUGUUUGGACAUGUAUUUUGAUUGAAAAAAUAUUGCAAUUUUGUGAGAGAAAAAAUGCUUUCUGAAAAUUUUGAAAAAGAUGUCGUUUUUGAAAAACUUAUUUUCACUUUUUUAUUCAAAAAUUUGCAAAAUUUCAUGCACAAAUACAUUUAAAAAAAGGUUAUGGACAAGCACAAACCAUAAAAGAGAGUACACUUUAAUUUACGUAAUUAUAUUGUUUUUUAACUAUAUUUCCUUUCAACCAUGCAGGAAAAAGCUUUGAUUGGAAAUAAUAAUGGAGUUUUUGGGGAAGUUAAUACUCUUUGCAAAGAUGGCCAGUGUUCAUCAUCAAGUACCAUGAUAAGAAGACUUUCAAGAGUAGCCAAGAAAUCACACCAUUGGUUACCAAGUAUUCAUGAAGAUUAUUAUGGGCCAAGAAGACAUAGACCUAGACACCAUUAG